GUGCACGCUGGCGGUAGGCCUAACCCAUGCAAGUCGCACGGCAGCACAGUAAGAGCUUGCUCUUACGGGUGGCGAGUGGCGGACGGGUGAGGAAUACAUCGGAAUCUACUUUUUCGUGGGGGAUAACGUAGGGAAACUUACGCUAAUACCGCAUACGACCUACGGGUGAAAGUAGGGGAUCUUCGGACCUUGCGCGAUUGAAUGAGCCGAUGUCGGAUUAGCUAGUUGGCGGGGUAAAGGCCCACCAAGGCGACGAUCCGUAGCUGGUCUGAGAGGAUGAUCAGCCACACUGGAACUGAGACACGGUCCAGACUCCUACGGGAGGCAGCAGUGGGGAAUAUUGGACAAUGGGCGCAAGCCUGAUCCAGCCAUACCGCGUGGGUGAAGAAGGCCUUCGGGUUGUAAAGCCCUUUUGUUGGGAAAGAAAAGCAGCAGGUUAAUACCCCGCUGUUCUGACGGUACCCAAAGAAUAAGCACCGGCUAACUUCGUG
rnacentral:rRNA from 1 species